rnacentral:tRNA from 1 species
UACCCCGUGGUGUAAUGGCAGCACAACAGGUUCUGGCCCUGUUAGUUAUGGUUCGAAUCCAUACGGGGUAACCA